AGUGUAGCGGUGAAAUGCGUAGAGAUCUGGAGGAAUACCGAUGGCGAAGGCAGCCUUCUGGCAUAAUACUGACACUGAGGCUCGAAAGCGUGGGUAGCAAACAGGAUUAGAUACCCUGGUAGUCCACGCCGUAAACGAUGUCUACUAGUCGUUGGGUCCCUUGAGGACUUAGCGACGCAGCUAACGCAAUAAGUAGACCGCCUGGGGAGUACGGCCGCAAGGUUUAAAACUCAAAUGAAUUGACGGGGGCCCGCACAAGCGGUAGAGCAUGUGGUUUAAUUCGAUGCAACGCGAAGAACCUUACCUGGUCUUGACAUAUCUAGAAUCCUGCAGAGAUGCGGGAGUGCCUUCGGGAAUUAGAAUACAGGUGCUGCAUGGCUGUCGUCAGCUCGUGUCGUGAGAUGUUGGGUUAAGUCCCGCAACGAGCGCAACCCUUGUCCUUAGUUACCAGCGGGUUAAGCCGGGAACUCUAAGGAUACUGCCAGUGACAAACUGGAGGAAGGCGUGGACGACGUCAAGUCAUCAUGGCCCUUACGACCAGGGCUACACACGUGCUACAAUGGUAGGUACAGAGGGCAGCUACACAGCGAUGUGAUGCGAAUCUCAAAAAGCCUAUCGUAGUCCAGAUUGGAGUCUGCAACUCGACUCCAUGAAGUAGGAAUCGC
rnacentral:rRNA from 1 species